rnacentral:rRNA from 1 species
GGCGGGUGCCUAUACAUGCAAGUCGAACGAACUCUGGUAUUGAUUGGUGCUUGCAUCAUGAUUUACAUUUGAGUGAGUGGCGAACUGGUGAGUAACACGUGGGAAACCUGCCCAGAAGCGGGGGAUAACACCUGGAAACAGAUGCUAAUACCGCAUAACAACUUGGACCGCAUGGUCCGAGUUUGAAAGAUGGCUUCGGCUAUCACUUUUGGAUGGUCCCGCGGCGUAUUAGCUAGAUGGUGGGGUAACGGCUCACCCAUGGCAAUGAUACGUAGCCGACCUGAGAGGGUAAUCGGCCACAUUGGGACUGAGACACGGCCCAAACUCCUACGGGAGGCAGCAGUAGGGAAUCUUCCACAAUGGACGAAAGUCUGAUGGAGCAACGCCGCGUGAGUGAAGAAGGGUUUCGGCUCGUAAAACUCUGUUGUUAAAGAAGAACAUAUCUGAGAGUAACUGUUCAGGUAUUGACGGUAUUUAACCAGAAAGCCACGGCUAACUACGUGCCAGCAGCCGCGGUAAUACGUAGGUGGCAAGCGUUGUCCGGAUUUAUUGGGCGUAAAGCGAGCGCAGGCGGUUUUUUAAGUCUGAUGUGAAAGCCUUCGGCUCAACCGAAGAAGUGCAUCGGAAACUGGGAAACUUGAGUGCAGAAGAGGACAGUGGAACUCCAUGUGUAGCGGUGAAAUGCGUAGAUAUAUGGAAGAACACCAGUGGCGAAGGCGGCUGUCUGGUCUGUAACUGACGCUGAGGCUCGAAAGUAUGGGUAGCAAACAGGAUUAGAUACCCUGGUAGUCCAUACCGUAAACGAUGAAUGCUAAGUGUUGGAGGGUUUCCGCCCUUCAGUGCUGCAGCUAACGCAUUAAGCAUUCCGCCUGGGGAGUACGGCCGCAAGGCUGAAACUCAAAGGAAUUGACGGGGGCCCGCACAAGCGGUGGAGCAUGUGGUUUAAUUCGAAGCUACGCGAAGAACCUUACCAGGUCUUGACAUACUAUGCAAAUCUAAGAGAUUAGACGUUCCCUUCGGGGACAUGGAUACAGGUGGUGCAUGGUUGUCGUCAGCUCGUGUCGUGAGAUGUUGGGUUAAGUCCCGCAACGAGCGCAACCCUUAUUAUCAGUUGCCAGCAUUAAGUUGGGCACUCUGGUGAGACUGCCGGUGACAAACCGGAGGAAGGUGGGGAUGACGUCAAAUCAUCAUGCCCCUUAUGACCUGGGCUACACACGUGCUACAAUGGAUGGUACAACGAGUUGCGAACUCGCGAGAGUAAGCUAAUCUCUUAAAGCCAUUCUCAGUUCGGAUUGUAGGCUGCAACUCGCCUACAUGAAGUCGGAAUCGCUAGUAAUCGCGGAUUCAGCAGCCGU